UAACAUUUGUUUCGUAUACUUGUUCCCAUAUUUUACACUGUUAAAAUAAACAAUGAAAUUUACUGCAAUAUUUUUGUAUGUCCUGUUAGUUGUGGCAGUCAUGUUUCACUCUACUGCAGCUAGGCCUGGUUGGUUGAAGAAACGACUAAAAAGUGCAGAAAACGGAGUUCGCAGAGUUAGAGAUAGGGCACAAGAAAAUUUACCUGUUAUUGCUGGCUAUGCUGGGGUAGCAUCACAAGUUGGAUUGGUGCCUGGAAGAUAAUUUUUAGUUUUUUAUUGUUUAUUUUUCUAUUACAUGUAUUUUUACUGCCAACUGUUUAUUAUUAAUUUAUUAUUAAAAAAAAAUCUGAUAUAAUUUUGUUAAA